rnacentral:rRNA from 1 species
AAUUUUCUGCAAUGCGGGAAACCCUGAUCCAGCCAUGCCGCGUGUAUGAUGACGGCCUUCGAGUUGUAAAGUACUCUUGGCAGCGAAGAAAAGGUAUUUCCUAAUACGAGAUAAUGCUGACGGUAUCUGCAGUACAAGCACCGGCUCACUUCGUGCUAGCAGCCGCGGUAAUACGUAGGGUGCAAGCGUUACUCGGAAUUACUGGGCGUAAAGCGUGUGUAGGCGGUUCGGAAAGAAAGAUGAGGAGUCCCAGGGCUCAACCAUGGAACUGCAUUUUUAACUACCGUGCUAGAGUAUGUCAGAGGGUGGUAGAAGUCCACGUGUAGCAGUGAAAUGCGUAGGUAUAUGGAGGAAUACAGAUGGCGAAGGUGGCCCCCUGAGAUAAUACUGACGCUCAGACACGAAAGCGUGGGGAACAAACA